GAAUUAAACCUAGCAAUUUGACGGUAUUAACUUUUACAAAGGAGUUUGUUUUAAAAUCGAAAACACACGUUAUAUCUUACUUAAUAAAUAUUUGUAUACCUCCGUAUAGAAAUUAUUUUAAAUCAACCUCAAAAUGAAAAAUAUCUCAAAAUAUCAGGUCAAGGUGCAGUAUUAUUAAGCUACUAUGAACUACAAUAAUAUAAUAUAUUCGAAUAAAUAUUUGAAAUAAUAUUUUGAAGAUGGAUUUGUCAGUAAACAUAUAUUAAUAUGAUAUUUUGAAAAAUUCUAAUUAAUAUGU
rnacentral:rRNA from 1 species